UAAAGUUGUUGCAGUUAAAAAGCUCGUAGUUGAAUUAGGCCUGGCCGGAUGGUCCGUCUUUGGCGAGUACUGUUCUGUCGUCGGGUCUAUCCUUCUGGUGAGCCGGGAUGCCCUUUAUUGGGUGUGUCGGGGAACCAGGACCAUUACCUUGAAAAAAUUAGAGUGUUUAAAGCGGGCAUUUGCUUGAAUAGAUUAGCAUGGAAUAAUAGAAUNGGACGUUGGUUCUAUUUUGUUGGUUUUAGGACCACCGUAAUGAUUAAUAGGG
rnacentral:rRNA from 1 species